GACCUGACAUUUUGAAAAUGGGGCCUUUCUUGGAGUCAAACUUUGGUAAACUUUUAGGAUGUUUUUAAGUACGUCUGAUACUACUGUAAACCACCGAGAAACCUUUUGUUCGAAUGAUUUGGGGGUCGAGCCAUAUUUGCAGCUGACUAGUAGAGCAACAUCAACCCUUUUCUUUAUACGGACAGACACAACCCUCUUCAAUGUGUGCGUAUGUGUUUCGUGUGUGUAUAUAUGGAACCGCCGCUUCCCCUACCAUUCAUACUCUCCUGAAUCUCUCCUAGGAUGCAUUUGGGGACCUGGCUCUGUUCUUCUGUGACCCCUACGGCGGCACAGUGAUCGCGGUCCUGUGGAAACCAAAAGCCUUCAGCCCCCAGCCAUUCAAGACUUCCCUGAUAGCCGCUCGCCACGUGGAGGUGAGCGAGGACGAGGCCCAUAGCGUACCCAACGUCGAGGCCAUGUUGGAGGACUUCCGAGUCAUGGGCAAGGGCCUGGUCAAGUCAGUGGAUGCCAGGACAGAGAAAUGGAUGGUGUAGACUUUGAAGCUCUGCCUUGCACAGCCGCUUGAUAAACAGAUGCAAGCAUACGUGUGCAUGUACAUGUUCACUAUAUGAACACAAGCAUAUGUAAACCUUGCUUCUCUGCGUGGACCACUGACACAAUGACAUAUUUGUAAGGAUGGUAUUGAUAUACCACCAGACAGGUGGACUUAAUCCCUUAUCUAUAUAAGACUUGGUCUCCCGUUUUGUAUAAUGAAGACAAUUGAAACGAUAUGUAGACUACCCAGCAGUAUGAAAAUACUGCACACUUGUGUAGAUGCAUGCCUCUAACCAUGUGAUCUUUGGCCAUGUUGGUGUCUAAUAACAUCUCAUUAAAUACUUCUUCAAAACAUAUAUCAUUAAAUAACACUUAUUGCCAUAGGCGCAAGAUAUAUAAGUAUUGAUUUGACCAAGGACUUGGUCAACUGUUGGUCUAGGUCAUGUGUUUGGUGACCAGCAGGGGGGGGUAUCUUGUUCAUGCGUACACUGUGUUUGUACACAGUGUAUAGUAGGCGUACUGAGGGAAGAGAUGUUCAGCCGGGUGAAUUAAGGUUUAAGGGAAACCGUUUCACAGGAACCUGUUUUAUAAAGUGUUAUUGUUUGUGUUUUAAAGGUAGGUUUUUUUUGUCCAACUUGUUUAACUGGACUUGGAACAACCUGUAUGACCAGUUCUCAAUCAAAUGUUCUUGGAGAGAUUUUCCUAGAAAUGAACCCCUUAAUUUCCCCGACACACGUCUUCGUGUGUCGUCUUGUUUACAAAUUGGAGAACAUUCCGAACCUUCGGUGAGAGGGUGCUUUGUCCGUUGUAUCAUGUGAUCAAGCCCAAAAUCACACCGACAUUCACGAAUCUCCGCACAUUCUAAUAAACUGUUGUGCAUUA